UAAUGAAAGUAUAAAUAAACUCUAAGUGUUAGUGAAUCUAUAGUUUUGAUGGGAUACGAAUUCUAUGAAACUAAUUUUAACGAUCCAACCGUCAAACUUGUUUGUAUAUGCUUCGAGAUCGCAUACGCCAAAAAUCACAAAAAAAAAACAUUCAGAGAUCAAGUAAUGAGACAAAACUUUUCGACGGUUUUAAAACAAAAAAUCACGAUUUAACGGUUAUUUUAACUCCGAUUUUGAUGAUUUUUUACAACUACACUCCUUGACCCUAUACGAAUACAAUGAAAGAAUUUGAUCGUCAAUUUAAAAUAUUUAUACCAGUGGAUACCACAAAAUCUUAUGUU
rnacentral:lncRNA from 1 species